rnacentral:rRNA from 1 species
GACGAACGCUGGCGGCGUGCUUAACACAUGCAAGUCGAACGAUGAACCCGGAGCUUGCUCCGGUGGAUUAGUGGCGAACGGGUGAGUAACACGUGAGUAACCUGCCCUUGACUCUGGGAUAACUGCGGGAAACUGUAGCUAAUACCGGAUACGACCCUCGGCGGCAUCGCCAGGGGGUGGAAAGAAUUUCGGUCAAGGAUGGACUCGCGGCCUAUCAGCUAGUUGGUGAGGUAACGGCUCACCAGAGCGACGACGGGUAGCCGGCCGGAGAGGGUAGCCGGCCACACGGGGACGGAGGAACGGCCCAGCGUCCUACGGGAGGCAGGAGUGGGGAAUAUUGCACAAUGGGCGCAAGCCUGAUGCAGCAACGCCGCGUGAGGGAUGACGGCCUUCGGGUUGUAAACCUCUUUUAGUAGGGAAGAAGCGAAAGUGACGGUACCUGCAGAAAAAGCACCGGCUAACUACGUGCCAGCCGCCGCCGUAA